AUACGGAGGAUGCAAGCGUUAUCCGGAUUUAUUGGGGUUAAAGGGUGCGUAGGCGGAGGAGUAAGUCAGGGGUGAAAUGCCGCGGCUCAACUGCGGAACUGCAUUUGAUACUGCUUUUCUGGAGUGCGGAUGCGGUGGGAGGAAUGGGAAGUGUAGCGGUGAAAUGCAUAUAUAUUGACCAAAACACCGAUUGCGAAGGCAACUCACGAAUCCGAGACGUACGCUGAGGCACGAAAGCGGGGGGAACAAACAGGAUUAGCUUGCUUGGUAGUGCCCGCAACAAUCAAUGAUAGCUAUCCGGCGGCAAAAGGAUUUCGGUGGCCACGCAAACGCAAUAAGUUAUCCACCUGGGGAGUACGUUCGCAAGAAUGAAACUCAAAGGAAUUGACGGGG
rnacentral:rRNA from 1 species